GGCGAACUGCUCCGUAAUACGCAGAUAACCUACCCUAUGGAGGGGGAUAACCCCGGGAAACUGGGACUAAUACCCCAUAGUCGUUGGGCGCUGGGAUGCCCCGACGACCAAAGCUACGGUGCCGUAGGAUGGGUCUGCGCCCCAUCAGGCUGUUGCUGGUGUAAAGAACCAACAAACCGAUAACGGGUACGGGCCAUGGAAGUAGGAGCCCGGAGAUGGAUUCUGAGACAUGAAUCCAGGCACUACGGUGUGCAGCAAGCGCGAAACCUUUACAAUGCAUUCACGUGCGAUAGGGGGACCUGGAGUGAUGCAGUUUACUGCAUCUUCUGCCGACUGCAAAUAGGUCGGCGAAUAAGGGCUGGGAAAUACGAGUGCCAGCCGCCGCGGUAAUACUCGAGGCCCGAGUGAUGACCACUAUUAUUGGGUCUAAAGCGCCCGUAGCCGGUUCGGCGAGUUCCUGGUGAAAUCCUCCAGCAAACUGGAGGGCGUGCUGGGAAUACUACCGGACUUGAGACUGGGAGAGGGUGGAGGUACUUAUGGGGGAGGGGUUAAAUCCUGUAAUCCCAUAGGGACAACCUGUGGCGAAGGCGUCCACCUGGAACAGGUCUGACGGUGAGGGACGAAAGCGUGGGUAGCGAUCGGGAUUAGAUACCCCGGUAGUCCACGCUGUAAACGAUGCCCGUUUGGUGUCGCGAACUUCUUGGGAGUUUGCGGUGCCGGAGUGUAGAUGUUAUACGGGCCACCUGGGGAGUACGUCCGCAAGGAUGAAACUUAAGGGAAUUGGCGGGGGAGCACACAAGGGGUGGGUACUGCGGUUCAAUUGGAUUCAACGCCGGAAAUCUCACCAGGGAAGACGGUAGUUUGACGGUCAGUCUGAUGGGCUUACCUGACAAGCCGAGAGGUGGCGCAUGGCCAUCGUCAGCUCGUACUGUGAAGCGUGCCGUUAAGUCGGUUAACGAGCGAGACCCGUAUCUCAUGUUGCAACCUGCGUCUUCGGACGGAGGGCGCUCAUGAGAGACCGCUAGUGAUAAACUAGAGGAAGGAACGGGCGACGGUAGGUCUGUAUGCCCCGAAUUUCCUGGGCUACACGCGGUACACAAUGCGCGCCACAGUGGGUUGCAACGCCGAAAGGCGGAGCUAAUCCCCUAAAAGCGCGCCUAGUUCAGAUCGGGGGCUGUAACUCGCCCUCGUGAAGCUGGAAUCCCUAGUAAGCAAACGUCAUCAUCGUUUGCUGAAUACGUCCCUGCUCCUUGCACACACCGCCCGUCAAGCCAACCGAGUGGAGCUUAAACGAGGACCGUUUCCCGCCGCAAGGCGGUCAACAGUUCGAGUUUCGGUUUCGCGAGGGGGGCUAAGUCGCCACAAGGUA
rnacentral:rRNA from 1 species